GACUGAGGGUGUGUUUUUUGCGGUGGGUUUUAGUGCCACCAGGCCUUCCUGCAGCAACAGUGUUUAUGUCAUCUUUCCUCCCGACAAUCUCAAAGUAAUGGGAAUAUUUCCAGCCGCUAAAAUGCUGUUGUCUUUGAGGAGCUGCUAACUAUGGUGGUGGUUGUGAAAACACGAACGACCCUAUCUGGAGCCAGUGUUUGGUUUAUCUGUUCUGAGCUACUGUAGACCUGAAGGUGCAACAUGGUGAUCACUGUGGAUGAGGACCAGCUCCAUACGUGGAUAUAACAGCUCAUUCUAAGUGGUGUCCACACUGCUGGAAAUAACAGAUGAUUUCUGAGGCGUGUCAUCAGAGUGAGCAGGAUGUCCCGAAGAUGGAACUCCCCAGAGAAUGGACGGGUUAGGUCAAGACAGGCCUCGUCUGCCUCCGCUGUCAGACUGCCAAGGCCAAAGUCUCUGGGUGGAGAGAAUGUCAGUGUUAAAGGUUCUAACUUAAAUUGAUGCUGCUGCAGUUCCUACUGGUGACCGAGAGCGUUCAAUAGAUGUGAUAGAUGACUUAUUGCCUCCUGAAGCGACUCUUGUGCAAUUGGACAAUGACUCUCGGGAGAUGGAAGGUUACAGCUGCUGUGUCCCUCAGAGCGUCCCAAUGACAUCAGGCAGCUCUACUGGAACAAUUUGGAUUAUGAGCCUCAAGGGCAGUGCUGCUAUCGUUUCUUCCACUUAAAGGAACAGUUCAACAUUUUGGGAAAUGCAAUAAUUUUCUGUCUUUAGCUUAGCUGGAAAUGGGGGAUCAGCUAGAUCUGGUGAAAUGUUAAAAAAAAAAAAACCUGUCUACCUGCACUUUAUAGCUUGCAGUGUUUUGCC